UACGUAGGGUGCAAGCGUUUAAUCGGAAUUACUGGGCGUAAAGCGUGCGCAGGCGGUUUUGUAAGUUUUGUCGUGAAAUCCCCGGGCUCAACCUGGGAAUUGCGAUGAAGACUGCAAGGCUAGAAUCUGGCAGAGGGGGGUAGAAUUCCACGUGUAGCAGUGAAAUGCGUAGAGAUGUGGAGGAACACCGGAUGGCGCAAGGCAGCCCCCUGGGUCAAGAUUGACG
rnacentral:rRNA from 1 species